CAAAUGGAUCAAUUCAAAUGAAUCAAUCAUGCAGAUACAAUCAAAUGGAUUAUAUUUAUCCAUUUUCAAGACCACUUUCCAUUUAUUUGGUUCUCUUUUCCGAAGUGUUUCUGAGGAAAAAUAAAAGACAUAUUUCCCGUGAGGUAGUCUAUUUGGAAUGAAUUAUUCAAAGGGCAACCCAGCAAUGUGUGCGCUUCCAUAGGCAACACGCCGUCCACUGCUUUAAGGAAACAUAAUGUAAAUAGAUAAAGCAGUUAGCAGGAAUCUUUUCCUCAAACGAGGGCUCACCCAGAAACCCAAGAUGUAAAACAGAGCCACCUGGAUGUAUUCUGAUCAUGGAGGGGAGCCCGGCCCACAGCCCACCUGCUGCACUGACCUGCCCCUCUGAGUAAGGACUUCAAGAUAGAAAUGCAUUUCCUCCAUGUGCGAAUGAAGAAACUAGAGAAGACAUCACCAUUUUCCCUUCUAGAAAAUAUAUCCCAGGUAGUAGGGGAUUUCAGAGCUGACUGAAUGAUGCAACCAAAAGAACCUCCUGACUGAGCAUAAGAAAUACCCGCAGAUCCAAUGUGCAGCUUGAGGAGUGGAAUGAAGGUCAACUGAAGGCAGAAAUAGACAAAUGCUCCUCUAAAGGAGCCAGAGACUGGUGCCCACAAGAGAUGCUUGGAGAUGGGAGUGGCAGGGAGGCAUUUUGGAAAUGGGGGAAAAGGAUCUGAUCUCAAGCAAAUACAAAUCUUCACACUUGUAUGGAACUUUGGAAUUGAAGGAACAUUUCCCAC
rnacentral:lncRNA from 1 species